UACGUAGGUGGCAAGCGUUAUCCGGAAUCACUGGGUUUAAAGGGUGCGUAGGUGGGUGUUUAAGUCAGUGGUGAAAGCCCGCAGCUUAACUGCGGAAUUGCCAUUGAUACUGGAUACCUUGAGUACAGUUGAGGUGGGCGGAAUGUGUCAUGUAGCGGUGAAAUGCAUAGAUAUGACCCGGAACACCGAUUGCGAAGGCAGCCCGCUAAGCAAUGAUUGACGCUGAGGCACGAAAGCGUGGGGAUCAAACAGG
rnacentral:rRNA from 1 species